GAUGAACGCUGGCGGCGUGCCUAAUACAUGCAAGUCGAGCGAACGGACGAGAAGCUUGCUUCUCUGAUGUUAGCGGCGGACGGGUGAGUAACACGUGGAUAACCUACCUAUAAGACUGGGAUAACUUCGGGAAACCGGAGCUAAUACCGGAUAAUAUUUUGAACCGCAUGGUUCAAAAGUGAAAGACGGUCUUGCUGUCACUUAUAGAUGGAUCCGCGCUGCAUUAGCUAGUUGGUAAGGUAACGGCUUACCAAGGCAACGAUGCAUAGCCGACCUGAGAGGGUGAUCGGCCACACUGGAACUGAGACACGGUCCAGACUCCUACGGGAGGCAGCAGUAGGGAAUCUUCCGCAAUGGGCGAGAGCCUGACGGAGCAACGCCGCGUGAGUGAUGAAGGUCUUCGGAUCGUAAAACUCUGUUAUUAGGGAAGAACAUAUGUGUAAGUAACUGUGCACAUCUUUACGGUACCUAAGCAGAAAGCCACGGCUAACUACGUGC
rnacentral:rRNA from 1 species